rfam:Eutrema salsugineum unplaced genomic scaffold scaffold_7, whole genome shotgun sequence.
UUGUCACUGGGCGAAGUGAAUGGGUAAAAUGGGCUUGUCUAAGUUCCGACCCAGGAAAGUCCCCGGGCUAUUCUCCGCAGAGAUGCGGCCUCGUCAACGAGAGAGUCAUACGGUGGAGUCGAUCCAAUCAGAGCUGAGACGUGUGUAUGGAGCUCACGUGGUCCCUCUGCCGAUGAUAUCAUGGCCGUGAUAACACAGUUAUUCACCUGGUUCUUAAUUGGACUAACCGAACGGGGCUUACGUUCCAGUGACA